rnacentral:rRNA from 1 species
AGGGCUCGCAGGCGGUUUCUUAAGUCUGAUGUGAAAGCCCCCGGCUCAACCGGGGAGGGUCAUUGGAAACUGGGGAACUUGAGUGCAGAAGAGGAGAGUGGAAUUCCACGUGUAGCGGUGAAAUGCGUAGAGAUGUGGAGGAACACCAGUGGCGAAGGCGACUCUCUGGUCUGUAACUGACGCUGAGGAGCGAAAGCGCGGGGAGCGACCAGGAUUAGAUACC